UGGGGAAUAUUGCACAAUGGGCGCAAGCCUGAUGCAGCCAUGCCGCGUGUAUGAAGAAGGCCUUCGGGUUGUAAAGUACUUUCAGCGGGGAGGAAGGUGUUGAGGUUAAUAACCUCAGCAAUUGACGUUACCCGCAGAAGAAGCACCGGCUAACUCCGUGCCAGCAGCCGCGGUAAUACGGAGGGUGCAAGCGUUAAUCGGAAUUACCGGGCGUAAAGCGCACGCAGGCGGUCUGUCAAGUCGGAUGUGAAAUCCCCGGGCUCAACCUGGGAACUGCAUUCGAAACUGGCAGGCUAGAGUCUUGUAGAGGGGGGUAGAAUUCCAGGUGUAGCGGUGAAAUGCGUAGAGAUCUGGAGGAAUACCGGUGGCGAAGGCGGCCCCCUGGACAAAGACUGACGCUCAGGUGCGAAAGCGUGGGGAGCAAACA
rnacentral:rRNA from 1 species